AGCAGCAUGGCGCAGUUGGAAGCGCGCGGGGCCCAUACCCAACUGGUGCGACCCCGAGGUCACUUGAUCGAAACAAGUUGCUGCUA